rnacentral:lncRNA from 1 species
AGCGGUGCCCUCAGAAGUUCGAGGACCUGAGAGAGGGAAGCUGCUUUUUCUGAAGGAGUGAAGAGGCGGUUGGAACACUUGAUCUUUCCUUCCGGUAAAAGGAUAAAUAGUAUUGCUGCUCCCAAGAAAGCUUAAUUCACAAUGCCCUUCUUGGACACUGAUGGAAAUGUCUAAUUAAGGUAAAAUACAUAUAUAUACACAC